rnacentral:rRNA from 1 species
UGGGGAAUAUUGCGCAAUGGGGGGAACCCUGACGCAGCCAUGCCGCGUGAAUGAAGAAGGCCUUAGGGUUGUAAAGUUCUUUCGGUAUUGAGGAAGGUUGAUGUGUUAAUAGCACAUCAAAUUGACGUUAAAUACAGAAGAAGCACCNUGCUAACUCCGUGCCAGCAGCCGCGGUAAUACGGAGGGUGCGAGCGUUAAUCGGAAUAACUGGGCGUAAAGGGCACGCAGGCGGUUAUUUAAGUGAGGUGUGAAAGCCCCGGGCUUAACCUGGGAAUUGCAUUUCAGACUGGGUAACUAGAGUACUUUAGGGAGGGGUAGAAUUCCACGUGUAGCGGUGAAAUGCGUAGAGAUGUGGAGGAAUACCGAAGGCGAAGGCAGCCCCUUGGGAAUGUACUGACGCUCAUGUGCGAAAGCGUGGGGAGCAAACAGGAUUAGAUACCCUGGUAGUCCACGCUGUAAACGCUGUCGAUUUGGGGGGUGGGGUUUAACUCUGGCGCCCGUAGCUAACGUGAUAAAUCGACCGCCUGGGGAGUACGGCCGCAAGGUUAA